UACGAAGGGUGCAAGCGUUAAUCGGAAUUACUGGGCGUAAAGGGUGCGUAGGCGGUUUGUUAAGUCUGUUGUGAAAUCCCCGGGCUCAACCUGGGAAUGGCAAUGGAUACUGGCAAGCUAGAGUGUGUCAGAGGAUGGUGGAAUUUCCGGUGUAGCGGUGAAAUGCGUAGAGAUCGGAAGGAACAUCAGUGGCGAAGGCGGCCAUCUGGGACAACACUGACGCUCAUGUGCGAAAGUGUGGGUAGCGAACAGG
rnacentral:rRNA from 1 species